CAGCAGCCGCGGGAAUACGUAGGGUGCGAGCGUUAAUCGGAAUUACUGGGCGUAAAGCGUGCGCAGGCGGUAAUGUAAGACAGAUGUGAAAUCCCAGGGCUCAACCUUGGAACUGCAUUUUUAACUACCGGACUAGAGCAUGUCAGAGGGAGGUGGAAUUCCACGUGUAGCAGUGAAAUGCGUAGAUAUGUGGAGGAACACCGAUGGCGAAGGCAGCCUCCUGGGAUAAUACUGACGCUCAUGCACGAAAGCGUGGGGAGCAAACAGGAUUAGAGACCCGUGUAGUCCCUGUCUCUUAUAC
rnacentral:rRNA from 1 species